rnacentral:misc_RNA from 1 species
GCAAAUGAAUGGGAAGUUAACCUUGCUGUGUUAUGCUAUGUGCUAGUUGGGCUUUGCUAUAUGGUGCCAUUGUUGAGCUGCUAAAUUGGUUUUAAUUUAGUUCACUUCUUUUAUAUUCCUGUAGAUAUGCAGAAAUGAUAGGACUUUGUUGUUUGAUGAAGAUCGAAUUUUUGCUUUUUUCCUAGAUUACUUAAAUUAGUACUCUACUAGUCUUUGAUUUGCUUCUUGAUCCUCACUAAAUUUUAGUUAUUUUGGCUCAAUUUGUUAGACGUUGUUGUGGUGUCCUUUGUCUUUCCAGGCUUGUCAAAAUACUUUCAAGCAAGUUCAGUCCAAGUCAAAAUGAAAUAAUGGCUGGUGUAGACUCCAUUAUUACAUUGAGCCAUGUUUAUUAAUUAGGCUUGAAUACUUCAACAUUAUUUGAGUUGCACAAUCAGUUUGAAUAUCACUAGUUUUUCAUGUUCCUCUCAAAAAAAAUCCAAAUCUUGGCUCCUUUUUUCUUUACAUCCAUGGUACUUGCAACAUGCAAUAUUCUUUGUAGGCUGUCUGAUAACAUGGGAAGUGUAUAGUUUCUGUCACCAUUAACAUGAUGAAAUCGAACUAACCCUUGUUUUGUCGUUUUAAUAAACUUAAAGAGAAUGUCACAAUUUUCAUUCUAAUGUUAUAUGCUGUAAACAACUAAAAAAGUUGGAUUUUUAGCUUUGCCUUCUGGAACUUCUUUAAGAAAAGCACAAGAAACUGUGAUUAAUUUGUGUUGGGUUAAAGAUCUGAAGCUUUGAGUUCCAUCUAGGAAAUCAAUGGGAGUUUCUUUUUGAAUUUUGUGCUCUUAACUUGACCAAUGAAUUUAA